AUUGAACGCUGGCGGCAGGCCUAACACAUGCAAGUCGAGCGGUAGCACAGAGAGCUUGCUCUCGGGUGACGAGCGGCGGACGGGUGAGUAAUGUCUGGGAAACUGCCUGAUGGAGGGAGAUAACUACUGGAAACGGUAGCUAAUACCGCAUAAUGUCGCAAGACCAAAGUGGGGGACCUUCGGGCCUCAUGCCAUCGGAUGUGCCCAGAUGGGAUUAGCUAGUAGGUGGGGUAACGGCUCACCUAGGCGACGAUCCCUAGCUGGUCUGAGAGGAUGACCAGCCACACUGGAACUGAGACACGGUCCAGACUCCUACGGGAGGCAGCAGUGGGGAAUAUUGCACAAUGGGCGCAAGCCUGAUGCAGCCAUGCCGCGUGUGUGAAGAAGGCCUUCGGGUUGUAAAGCACUUUCAGCGGGGAGGAAGGCGGUGAGGUUAAUAACCUCAUCGAUUGACGUUACCCGCAGAAGAAGCACCGGCUAACUCCGUGCCAGCCGCCGCGGUAA
rnacentral:rRNA from 1 species